ACGUAAGUAGUUCAACGGGUUAGAGCACGAUCUCUCGGAUAGAAUGAGGUGUGGGUUCGAGUCCCGCCUGACGUG